rnacentral:misc_RNA from 1 species
GUGGUUGUGAGUUGAUGUGAACAUUAGAUUACUUUAACCUUUUAUCAAACACAUCCUUACUGUUAGCUUUACUAUUCACGACAAUGGACUUGUAAAUGGAUAGCAAACAUUGUCAAUAUGAGGACAACAACAACAACUCAACAAUUUAAAAACAUGAACUACUCCCAAAAGAGACUAGAAUUUGCCCUUGUACUCUCAAAACCAUUUGGAAGCAACUAUGACUUCUAGUAUCGUCUUCUCCAAUUGACCUUCAUCAAUCCACAUGGAACUUUGUUUUCGCAAGAGUUCAUUCUUCUGUUUCUUUUUCUCUUCCAGUUUUUGCUGUACCAUUCUCCAGUAU